rnacentral:rRNA from 1 species
UACGGAGGGUGCAAGCGUUGUUCGGAUUUACUGGGCGUAAAGGGCGCGUAGGCGGCCUACUAAGUCGGACGUGAAAUCCCUCGGCUCAACCGAGGAACUGCGUCCGAUACUGGUGGGCUUGAAUCCGGGAGAGGGAUGUGGAAUUCCAGGUGGUAGCGGUGAAAUGCGUAGAUAUCUGGAGGAACACCGGUGGCGAAGGCGGCAUCCUGGACCGGUAUUGACGCUGAUGCGCGAAAGCCAGGGGAGCAAACGGG